GCCCCCCGGUGGUAUAGGGGUCAGUACCCCCGCCUGUCACGCGGGAGCCCGGGGGUUCGAUUCCCCCGGGGAGUU